GUCUGCUUGAAGAUAUAGGCAGUCUAGCCUGCUCACUGAUAAAAUUAUUUAAGGGCCGCGGUAUAUUGACCGUGCAAAGGUAGCAUAAUCAUUAGAGGUUUAAUUGGAAUCUGGUAUGAAUGGUUGGACAAAGGAAAAACUGUCUUUAUAAUGAAUUUUGAAGUUUACAUUUAAGUGAAAAGGCUUAAAUAAUUCAAGGGGACGAUAAGACCCUAUAAAGCUUUAUAAAUAAAUUAAAUUUAUCUAAGUUAAAUAAUAAAAGUUAAGUUUAAUUAUUUUAUUUUGUUGGGGUGAUGUGAGCAUAAUUAUAGUUAACUGCUUAAAAAAAAAUUCUAUAUAAAAGAGUUUAAAUUUAUGAUCCUUUAUAAAGAUUGAAAGACUAAGUUACUUUAGGGGUAACAGCGUUAUUUCUUUUGAGAGUUCAUAUCGAAAAAGAAGAUUGCGACCUCGAUGUUGAAUUAAAAUAUCUAUAUAAUGUAGUCGUUAUAAAAGAGGGUCUGUUCGACCUUUAAAUUUUU
rnacentral:rRNA from 1 species